CAGUUUACAAGUGUAAGGUAUAUGGAUGUGCUUUGGUCAAGAACAGGCCGAGGUGGAUAUCCAGGCCUGCAUGACUCAGUGAGUUUAGAGUGCAGGCAUAUAACUCCACUUGUUAUCACAGCCAUGUAGCCAUGUGGCCCGAUGCCACUAUUGUCUGUAAAAGCUAUAAUUGCCCUGCUGACUCUGUACAGGUGCACUUGCACCCAGAGAAAGAGAGAGAGAGCCAGAGCUGUCGGUCUUUGCAGAUGGACAGGGGGAGCCAGGACACAGCUCAGCCUACUCAUGCCCAGAGAGAGAAAGAGUUCAGCUGCUGACCCUGAAGGCAAGGGAGAGCUGGCCACGCAGGUGUGUGUGGGAGCUGGCUGCUGAGAGGAGCCGCCGAGCUGGAGCAGGCAGCCAAAAUAAAGGUGAACAGUGUAAACGAGCUAGUGUAAGCUGCUGAUGAGAGAGCUGCUGAAUAAAAUUACAUUUCACCUGCCUACAGCACCCCGAGUGUUCUUUCAGCUAUCUGCUCAUCCAUCCCCUCUUUUCGGACCUCAGCUGGGACUGGACCCCAACCCUGAGCAUAACAACAAGUGAUACUUUUGUUAGGUCCAUUUUCACUUCAUCAGAAAUGUCCUGAGCUCUCCCUGGGCACUGUCCUGUGGCUGGUAAGAGGCAGAGGUGAGUCAGAUGUGAAGCCCACUCUCUAGGGGUUCCUCCUCGUAGGGCAGAUGGGCAGGUGAACCCGGUACGAGGAGCCCAACAAGUUAGGUGUGUACAAGGUUCAGACUUGUCAUCUUGACAUUUCCCAGAUGUACCACGUUCCUUCCCACUUCAAGGCCUUGCCACAUGCUGUUCCCUCUGCCUGAACCCCUUUCUCCCCUUCCUCUGAUAAACUCCUAGUUAUACUUCAGGUGCUCCUGAAAGUCUUCCCCGAGGCCCUUCCCUUCAUUAUGCCAAUUGCUGUUGUUCGACAAUCUUAGAAACCUGUGUUUCCUUUUCCUCUCCCUCCUGCAGGGCAGGAACCGUGUCAGUCUUGUUCCUUGUUGUAACCCAGUGCCGGGCACAUGGUAAGUGCAUAGCAUCAUUGCUUUGAAUGGUGCUAAGUCAGGUGCCAGCAGUGCUAGCUACCAUUUCCGCCAUCUGCGCAAACGUCAACACAGUGAAGAAGGAAACUGAUAUCUUCUGACUCAAAAUAGAUUUGAUCUUGUGGACUACCUGAAAGACCCCUGAGAGUGGAACUCACUUUGAGAACUGCUGUUGUACAAGAUACUGGCUUUGAAAAAUGAGUUGGAUUUUGAAAGGAUAAGAUGAGGGAGUAUAUCUGAAGAACAGCAGGUACGCAGUUUGGUUGGAGAAGGAGGAAAGCAGAGGCAGAUGAAACUGAAAAGAUAUCGUGAAAGGCCUGAAUGCCUUCAUGAUGACCCACUUAGGUUUAAGCCACACAGAAAGAGGCAGGCUAGGG
rnacentral:lncRNA from 10 species